AAGUCGUAACAAGGUUUCCGUAGGUGAACCUGCGGAAGGAUCAUUAUUGAAUGAACUUAGAGUCGGUUGUCGCUGGCUGUCUUUGGCAGCAUGUGCACGCCUUCUCUUUUCAUCCACACACCCCUGUGCACUUGUGAGACUGGAGGCCGUAAAAAAGCCUUCAGUCUGCUAAAUUCAUAUACAAACUCAUUUAAUUGAACUGAAUGUACUUGAUGUAACGCAUCAUUAAACUAAGUUUCAACAACGGAUCUCUUGGCUCUC
rnacentral:misc_RNA from 1 species